rnacentral:rRNA from 1 species
GACAGAGGGUGCAAACGUUGUUCGGAUUUACUGGGCGUAAAGCGCGUGUAGGCGGCUUUACAAGUCGGAUGUGAAAGCCCACGGCUCAACCGUGGAAGUGCAUCCGAAACUGUAUCGCUGGAGUCCCGGAGAGGAAGGUGGAAUGCUUGGUGUAGAGGUGAAAUGCGCAGAUAUCAGGAGGAACACCAAUGGCGAAGGCAGCUCGCUGGGACGGUACUGACGCUGAGACGCGAAAGCGUGGGGAGCAAACAGG